UCCGGGCGCGGUGGCUCACGCCUGUAAUCCCAGCACUUUGGGAGGCCGAGGCGGGCGGAUCACGAGGUCAGGAGAUCGAGACCAUCCUGGCUAACACGGUGAAACCCCGGGUUUCACCGUGUUAGCCAGGAUGGUCUCGAUCUCCUGACCUCGUGAUCCGCCCGUCUCGG
rnacentral:SRP_RNA from 1 species